rnacentral:lncRNA from 1 species
AGGCAGCCGAGGAGAAGUUGGGAACUCAGCUGGAGAUCCUGGCCCCUAUCAAAUACUAAGAGAUAUCAGAGCUUUCGUGCGCCAUCAGUUUUGGGAAACCUCUGUCGUAUUUUAAGUAGUUUGGUAACUCUGAUAGUACAAUCUGGUUGGUAAACCUUUGUUAUGCAUGCAGUUCUGCGACACUCAUUUGAAAUUUUCUACAUGGUGAACUGUUUCGUUUAUCAAAUGUGUGCAUUUGGGAAUUCUAGUGAACGUCUAUCAGGUGCCUUGCUGUUUUUCUCUUUACUACGGCCUUUGCAGUCCCUUGUUAUGACCCUUUGUACAUGUCGUUUGCGGCCAUCAUAGUCGUCUCUACGCCA